rnacentral:rRNA from 1 species
AUUCCUUUUGAUUUUGGAGGAAUAAAAAUAGUGAAAUUAUUUAUACAUGUUAGUGAAAGCGUAUAAGUGAGUUAAUAACAAUUUAUUGAUACCUAUCAGGAUAAUUAAAGUAGAUUAUUAAUUAACCAAAGACGGGAAGCUAUAAAAGCCACGUUUUAACUGAAACAAAGUAAAAUUAUACAGCAGUAAAGAAUUCUAUACAAUUGAAUUAAUUCAGAUAUGGUUAUUUCACUUAGUCUUGUCUAAUUAAGUGCCAGCAGACGCGGUUAUACUUAAAAGGCAAAUUUUUAUAAUAAAACAGUUAAUAUGUGUAGCAACUUAAAUAAAUACAAAGCACGUUUUUGAAGUGGUUAAAUACACAAAAAUAGUUAUUCUUAAAAUGAAGAUAUUGUAUUUAAUAUUGUGAAACAUGAAAAAAAGGGAAUUAAAUAGGAUUAGAUACCCUAGUAAACCUUUUUGUAAAUUGAUAAUAUCUACCUGAACAGUAUACUUUUAAAAGUGAAAAUCAAAAAUUUUGGCUGUUUACUUUCCAAUUAGAGGAGCAUGUAAUUUAAUCCGAUAAUCCGCGAAGAAUCUUACCUAUUCUUGAAAUCCCAGGCGCUGCAUGGUCGUCGUCAGUUUAAAUAUUUAGUUUAAACUCAAUCCAAAAAUGGAUUAAGUCAGAUGGUAUGACCCUUAUGAAUAGGGAUAUUAUGUGCUACAAUAAUUAAAUUAAUCUAAACUUGAAUUCGAAUAAAAAAUGUAACUUUUUUUGAAGGUGAAUUUAAUAGUAAAUAGAAAUAAGAAAGUUCUAUUGAAUAGGUUCAAGUAUGAGUACAAAUUGCCCGUCGCCUUUAUCAAUAAUCAAAUUAAAGAUAGAGCAAGUCGUAACAUAGUGGGGGUAAGGGAACUUGCCCCUGAAAUUAUAUUUAUGG